UGCUUGGCUUCCGUAAAUGACUGCAGGAAGGUGUCAAAGAUGCCAAAAAAUUCAUCUGGCUGCAUUCUACCCUCACUCUCUCCAAAAUGCUUGAGCGCCUUGGCGUACUGUUAAUAAAAGAAAGGAGGAGUGGAGAUGCAUACACUGACAGUUAGAACUAGAAAGAAAAUGUACAAAUGCAUGCUUAUAUUGAAUUGUUUACCCACUUAUUCCUAGUAAAAAUUUGUCUGGAUGUCCUGCAGAGCAAAGGAUUUUGCAUUUCAUUCUAAACAACCCUCCUGGAAAAGGAUUAUUUCGGAUGACACGUGAAGGAUCCUCACAGGUUUGGACCAAGUUUAGCAUAAGCCAUAAAAUUAAUCACCUGCAAAGCUGAAGUUACUGUAAUAGUACUGGCAUUUUGCUCUGCAAUCUAUCACUCAUGCCCAACAUAAAAGGUUGUUUUCCAAGGAACAGUGACACAAUGGACAGACCGUCUGGCUGAAGGAUGGCAGUGAGAGGGCAGCACUCCCAUGCAGACAUAAAAAGUCACUGAGUCCAGACAGAAAUAGAAGCAAGAAAACAACCCAAGAACAAGGUCCUGUUAAUGAAGAGAAACCAAACAAAAAGUGAAGGGUCUAGGAAGCAGAGCACUAUGUACCAGCACUAUUCAAGCCAAUACUAUAUUAACCCAGGGUUCCAAGACAGACAUCUGACAGCUUAAAAUAACAGGAGUGUUAUUCUAAGAUAAAAGACAUUAAUUUUGAAUAAAGCCAGAUAAAACAC